rnacentral:lncRNA from 1 species
CAACACUUCAACUUGAUCACCCGUGUUAACAAAAAUAGUAUUGUUUUUCGAAGGUGGUAUAUUUACCCAUUUGCCCUCUUUUAAAAACUCAAGACCAGGCACCUGGUCAUCUUGUAGCAAUAGAAUGAUGCCACCGGCAUCCGUGUGUUCACGAAGACCUCUUACGAGUUCUGGGUGAGGGCAUUUUGGGUAUUUCGCCACUUUUGUCCCCACCGAAGGACCUUUGGUUCCUGAAAAAGCCAUUUUCAUGUGGUCUUUUUCUAGACCAAGAUUCUCACACAUGAGUUCAGAAAGCUUCUCGGCUACUUUUAUAAGUUGAUCAAUGUACUCAUCGAUUGUUUUUCUGCAUGUAUUCGUUAUAUAAAUAUAAAAUCUUAUUUUUUUUUUAUAUAUAAAUAGAAGUAAUGAUUUCCCUUUUGUUUAUAAAAAUAACUUACCGAAGUUCUUCAGAAAGGUUAGUGUACUCGUUGAUUUUGUUAUUCGGGCGAUGCCAUAAGAAAAAAGUGCUUUCCCAAUCGAUAUCGGUUGUUUUGUUUUUAUCUUCUACACUUUUAACAAUUUCAGAGUUAUAAAAACUCUUCUCCAUUUUCU